rnacentral:rRNA from 1 species
GACGAACGCUGGCGGCGUGCUUAACACAUGCAAGUCGAACGGAAAGGCCCUGCUUUUGUGGGGUGCUCGAGUGGCGAACGGGUGAGUAACACGUGAGUAACCUGCCCUUGACUUUGGGAUAACUUCAGGAAACUGGGGCUAAUACCGGAUAGGAGCUCCUGCUGCAUGGUGGGGGUUGGAAAGUUUCGGCGGUUGGGGAUGGACUCGCGGCUUAUCAGCUUGUUGGUGGGGUAGUGGCUUACCAAGGCUUUGACGGGUAGCCGGCCUGAGAGGGUGACCGGCCACAUUGGGACUGAGAUACGGCCCAGACUCCUACGGGAGGCAGCAGUGGGGAAUAUUGCACAAUGGGCGGAAGCCUGAUGCAGCAACGCCGCGUGCGGGAUGACGGCCUUCGGGUUGUAAACCGCUUUCGCCUGUGACGAAGCGUGAGUGACGGUAAUGGGUAAAGAAGCACCGGCUAACUACGUGCCAGCAGCCGCGGUGAUACGUAGGGUGCGAGCGUUGUCCGGAUUUAUUGGGCGUAAAGGGCUCGUAGGUGGUUGAUCGCGUCGGAAGUGUAAUCUUGGGGCUUAACCCUGAGCGUGCUUUCGAUACGGGUUGACUUGAGGAAGGUAGGGGAGAAUGGAAUUCCUGGUGGAGCGGUGGAAUGCGCAGAUAUCAGGAGGAACACCAGUGGCGAAGGCGGUUCUCUGGGCCUUUCCUGACGCUGAGGAGCGAAAGCGUGGGGAGCGAACAGGCUUAGAUACCCUGGUAGUCCACGCUGUAAACGGUGGGUACUAGGUGUGGGGUCCAUUCCACGGGUUCCGUGCCGUAGCUAACGCUUUAAGUACCCCGCCUGGGGAGUACGGCCGCAAGGUUAAAACUCAAAGGAAUUGACGGGGCCCCGCACAAGCGGCGGAGCAUGCGGAUUAAUUCGAUGCAACGCGUAGAACCUUACCUGGGUUUGACAUGGAUCGGGAGUGCUCAGAGAUGGGUGUGCCUCUUUUGGGGUCGGUUCACAGGUGGUGCAUGGCUGUCGUCAGCUCGUGUCGUGAGAUGUUGGGUUAAGUCCCGCAACGAGCGCAACCCUUGUUCACUGUUGCCAGCACGUUAUGGUGGGGACUCAGUGGAGACCGCCGGGGUCAACUCGGAGGAAGGUGGGGAUGACGUCAAGUCAUCAUGUCCCUUAUGUCCAGGGCUUCACGCAUGCUACAAUGGCUGGUACAGAGAGUGGCGAGCCUGUGAGGGUGAGCGAAUCUCGGAAAGCCGGUCUCAGUUCGGAUUGGGGUCUGCAACUCGACCUCAUGAAGUCGGAGUCGCUAGUAAUCGCAGAUUAGCAACGCUGCGGUGAAUACGUUCCCGGGGCU